rnacentral:rRNA from 1 species
UACGUAAGGUGCAAGCGUUAUCCGGAUUUACUGGGUGUAAAGGGAGCGCAGGCGGCGCGGCAAGUCCGAUGUGAAAACCCCCGGCUCAACCGGGGGACUGCAUUGGAAACUACCGGGCUGGAGUGCCGGAGAGGUAGGCGGAAUUCCUGGUGUAGCGGUGAAAUGCGUAGAUAUCAGGAGGAACACCAGUGGCGAAGGCGGCCUACUGGACGGUGACUGACGCUGAGGCUCGAAAGCGUGGGGAGCAAACAGG